ACUUGAUUAUUUAGCAGACAUCACUUGCUUAUAUUCAGUCAACACAUAUCUUAAGAAUAUCAUGGAAUAUUUGAACAUUUUCGUUUCUCCAAUGCUUGUCUCAGAGCAGCGCGAAACGGUGCUGAAAUAAACAUCCACAGCGGGAAGGCUAUGUAUUCUGUGCCCACUCAUGGUAUCGCUCUUCGGUUACACAUCCUUGGAAUAGCAGAACAGCAUAACGGUCUGGGCAGCCCUUGUUGUGCCUGGUGAGCAGUUCUGUUGUCAGAAGAGGAAUGGAAAUGUCAGGGUGAACCGACAACCUGACGAACCCGCCACGUAUGUUGACUCUGCCUGUCGGAGGUGGAGUUCCAGAGCUCACAGGUGUGCCUGGCAUGGAUUGUGACUCCAUCUCGUUCCUCGCCCUUUUCAACGCGUCAUUCUCCACCUGACUCUCCGCCAAUGCCGCCUGAUUCUCCGCCAAUGCCGCCUGACUCUCCGCCAAUGCCGCCUGACUCUCCGCCAAUGCCGCCUGACUCUCCGCCAAUGCCGCCUGACUCUCCGCCAAUGCCGCCUGACUCUCCGCCAAUGCCGCCUGACUCUCCGCCAAUGCCGCCUGACUCACCACAAAUGCCGCCUGACUCUCCACAAAUGCCGCCUGACUCUCCACAAAUGCCGCCCGACUCUCCGUUAAUGAGGAGUGACUCUCCGCCAAUACCGCCUGGCUCUGGACCAAUGCAUCAGCCGUCGCCCGUAUCUCUGCCCUCAGAGAAUAUUUCUCUUUCUGAUGGUCUGCCUUCAAUGACUCGAUCUCGCUCUUCAAAGUUUGAAUCUCACCCAUGAGCACCUUCAUCAGAUGAGCAGAAUGGUACCGCCCUGAGCCCCCAUCGAUUAUAGUGGCCUAUGAUAGAAACGGUAGAUCAAUUAACAAUUAAAAGUGACUCCAAAUGCUCCACCACAAGAAUCUAGCUUAACUAAAUAAAUCGACUGCUGGUCUUUACUGUAUGCUGCACAUUUUUAUUUCAUUUCCAGUGAGACUAUUCAAGCCAUUGACUCACUGAUGAAUGAAGAUGAGCGAUCGGCAAAGGCAAUCUGUGGGCAUCACAACAUCGCUCUAAUCACAUUCAGAAGACAAUUGAAAAAACUUGUGUGGACUUAUGGAAACGCUCGGCCCAGGCAUGGAUCAAAGCUGGCGAGACAUUCAAUAACGUCAUCUUCACAGAUGAAUCAACCGUGGCCCUUGAGCAAUUUGUUCAAAAUUGCUACAGAAAAAAAAGGAAGAAGAUCAAGCAAGCGGAGUCCCAAGCAUCCGCUCAAACUCCAUGUGUGGGAGACAAUUUCUCGCCAGGGACCAGGCCCAUAUUUGAUUUUGAUGGUAAAGUUUGGCUAUUUCAAAGCAAAAGGUACAUAAAAUAUUGUAGCCUACACCUCACGGACUGUUAUGUGUUCCACAAUAAUUCACUCUUGCCUCCUUUUUCAGGUAUCAUGGCUCAAGAUUUCUUUGAGGAAGAAAUCAUCAAGAGAUAUGCUGGACCCUAUGUCAGAGAGGUGUUUCUGGGUACACAUAGUUUCUUUCAAGACAAUGACCCAAAACACUGCCGCCCGGGUUUGCAUUGCAAAUGAUGGCAUAACCUGGGUCAAGACGCCAGCAGAGAGAUCUCAGCUUGUAGAUGUCUUGAUGUUUUCCCGAGUUUUAUGACGCAUGAUGUUCCGUGAGCACUCCUCCGAGAAUCAUGCAAGUCUGGCUGGGAACUAUGUGGGAUGGAAAACAGCACUUUGUGACAGAGUUAUCGAUGAAACAGGAAAUACUGCCAUCCAGAGGUUCAGGAAAGCACCUUCUCAACCUCAGCUGCCCCUGAUGUCACCAGGCAGGCCAAAACUCCAUCCCAACAAAAUAAGCAGACAUUUCCAGCGUCUUUUCAAACAACUUGUACACUAAAAGGGCAUUAUCACCAUUUUCACAGUACAAUUCCAACCUCAUAUUGUAAAAAAAAAAGGUAUAUAUGUACUCAAUGGGUAGUUGCUCGGCAACCUAUCUUAUUGUCUCAGACAUGUUCAGAAAGGGUGGAAGACGAUGACAAAACCAAGACUUGGCUCUAUAUUAUGGGAAAUGCACUGGUAGCUGUGUUUCACAAUGAUGCCAUGAUACCAGUGGAGGAUGAUUGAAUUUGACAUUGUCUCAAAUAGCUUUAAGGUGAUACCAGAAGCCCAUAAAUAUGACAUACUGUAAUGAGUCCUGCAGGAUGGGUGGUUUGACUGUUAUUGACUGUGUUGUCUCAUACUGAAUGGAUAUUAUAAUAUAUAUAUAUAUACUGCUCAAAAAAAUAAAGGGAACACUUAAACAAC